ensembl:lncRNA
UACAUGUAACCCUGAUGUUAUUUUUCAUUGUCUGUAUUUACUGAGAGUGAAAUUAUGAUAAAAUGUUUUAUUUUAUUUAUUUUUCAUUUGAAAUAUGUUUGUUUAAUAUGUAUUGUUUUUACUUUCCUUUAUUAGAGUUUGGUUGGGGAGUACAUGCGAAAAACGUGGCAAACAUCAUUUUGGGUUGUAAGUUGAUGUACAUUGGACAGAUAAGAGACUGACAAGUUUGUGAGCCAAUCAGAUUUUUCCGAGGAGAAAGGAGACGGGAGGAAAAAAGUUUGAGAAAAGACAGCAAGAAGACGAGAGAAAGGAGAGGGAGAAAGACGCGAGUUUAACGAUAUCUUUGAGUGUUUAAAACGAGAAGCUUUCCUGUAAUCAGAAGUACUGCUCGUAUUUCUUCACUAAGGAGGCGGCUCGUUAUGACUGUGGACUGUUUCAUGUAAGUUUGCAGUUGCAUGUUUGGCUCGGCCAGAGUUGAACGCUGUGCAUGUUGGCAUACUUUCUAGACGGAAACUGUUGUUGUCAUCUGCUUAAACCGAGCGGAGUUUCAAGAAAUAUAACGCAGACUUUUGUUUCCCGGGAGGAAAAUGUUGGUGAGCAUCGUCCAGUAACUUCAUGAGAAUUCGACGCGCAAACAGCCACCGCACCUGUUGUAACGUUGCAUGGAGACAUUUCGACACCGGACUCACGACCAUUUCAAUGUGAUGAAAGCAGACGUGUUUCAACGCACACUCGCAACCAGAUUGAGAAGCUUCCCUGAAAACGUGUUUUGAAGCAGAUGCACGGAACAUACUGCUCACACAGAUUUGACCAACCGGGUUCCAAACCGGACUGCAAACGUUCUGCACAGUUGCCAUAGAAACCCUCGGCCAAGCCCACAAUCCAUAACACAAUAUGGCUGACUUUUCUCAGUUGGCUGUUGUUCUGCAGAAAAGCCACUUGAAAGACUGACAAACUAUUUCUUCCAUAAUGAGCCACAAUCACUCAGUCAAGCAUGAAAGCUAUAAUUAGCAUAAAUAUAACUUAUGAGCAUCCAUAAUGCAAAAUGAUGCUGUUACAUCUCGAGAGCACCUCUAAUUUCAG